CUUUUUCACUAAGAUUCACUAAAUACUAAAAGUUACCACUUUUAAGCAUUAAAAAUUGAAUUUCCUUAUUAUAAAUCUGUGUUCUUUCAGUUUUAACUGCCAUCAAUACUAUAUUUAGUAAUACCCUAUAUAAUAUGUAAAAUCUCUACAUACACAAUUUGCAGUUAUCCGAAAGACUUACAUUGACAAUUGGAAUGAGAGUAUCUGAAUAAUAGAACUACCCAUUUGGGAGAUAGGAUGUACACAUACCUAAAGUUGUGCUGGUAGGCGGUCUGCUUAAAGAAUGGCAAGUAUAUGAGAACUCCAAAAUCCAAAAUGGAAACAAGACUGUUAGUGUCGAGACCCUCCACUGUUGCACUGACUAUGAUGUCAGUUUAGAGGAGGGAGGUCUGAAUCAGAUCUUAAUUUUAAAAUGUUCUUAGCACAUCACCAAGUUCAGUACUAAGAGAGACAAUUAGACCCAUCUCUUGAAUUCAAGGCCAGUAGGGACUACAUAAUGAGAUCCUGUCUCACAAAACAACAGAAAACACCAACAUGAGUCAUUUGAAGAAUAUUGUCCAACCACAUAAGUGUUUAGAUCCAAUAUAUAGUUAGUUUAGGGAAAUUGUAAAUCACGGGGUUUAUUAAUGUGUCAUUAAAACAAAGGUGUUGCCAGGCAGUGGUAGCGCAUGUCUUUAAUCCCAGCACUUUGGAGGCAGAAUCAGGAUUUCUGAGUUCAAGGCCAGCCUGGUCUACAGAGUGAGUUCCAGGACAGCCAGGGCUACACAGAGAAACCCUGUCUCGGGGAGGAAAAACAAAACAAACAAAAAAAAGGUGUUGAGUAAGAAGCUGCCCUAUAAUAUAUUGAUACUUAAAAGUGUCAAUAUUUGAACCAAAGCUUGAGCUAAUUGUAAAAUUUUGACUCAGUAACAAUUGUGUACUAAGCUCAAGGGCCUAGAGAUACAGUGAUACCCAUGUCCCUCCCUCAAAGUCAUGACGUAGCCUGUUUCAGUGUCAUGGACCCCUUUUUCAAUCUGCUAUCUAGAGAUCUCUUCUAAAACAAAACUUUUUACAUGCAUAAAGUACAGUGGAUUGAUUUAGGGAGAAAGUAAUAAAAAGAAUCUUAAAAUUUAAGUUGUUACAGAGAAAUACAUGGUUUUUUUUAACUGUAGGUUGUCAGCAGCGCCUCAGCUAGUGUCCAGCAGAUAUAUUUCAAACUACCUGCAGCAAUAUUAUAAGAAAAUACGUUUAAUCAGGACAGUCUUCUUUACUGCUAAUACUGUAAUUUUUUACAUUAGGCAUUUUUCUUUAAUUUUUAAGAUUUUAUUUACUUUAUGUAUGAAUACACUGUCGCUGUCUACAGAUGCACCAGAAGAAGAUAUCCGGUCCCAUUAUAGGUAACUGGAGUACCAGAUGGUUGAUAGGAAUUGAACUCUUGACCACUAAGCCAUCUCCCCAGCCCAGAUUUUUCUUUAUUAUAAAAAGUACAAAUAGAAAAACACAUACACACUGAAAUUUACCAAACUAUAUAUGAAGUCUAUAAAUUUUAUAAUAUUUUUAUUUGAGAAUUUAAUACAUUUUGACCAUCCUCCCUGAUUAUAUUCAGAUUUUAAUAGAAGUCACUAAAAGUAAAGAAUUAACUUUUAACUAGUCUUGAAGCACUGUUUAUAAACCCCUGAUUUAAAACCUUGGCUACAAGUUUUAAUAGAAUUCCUUAUGUUCAUUGAUAAUUUCAUACAUGAAAAUAAUAUAAACUUAAUUCUAAGUUGGGCAGUAGUAGUGCAUGCCUUUAAUCUCAGCACUUGUUAGGGUUUGGUGUCAGAGGCAAAUAUAUCUGAGUUCCAGGCUAUCCUGGUCACAGAGCAAGUUCUAGGUCAGAACUACACAGAGAAAGCCUGUCAGGGACAAGGGGAGCCUUCUUAACUCUAAUAACUACUCUCAAUGCUGUACCCAAGGCCAGUUAAGGCUAAUUUAGUGGUACCUCAAACAGAAGAGGCUAGUGGAGUAGGAUAGACACCGGCCUGUGCAAAAAAAAAAAAAUCUCAACAUUGGAAAAUGUGCCUUAUCCCAUUUAAGUCAAAAUACUUAUAAAAUGAAUUUAAGGGGCUGGAGAGUGGCUCAUUAUGAGCUGUAAAUUCUUUUUCAUGGAAUCUAUUUACUUUGACCUCUGGGCACAUAAAAGCUCUUAUUGGAUCUCUGAGUUUGAGACCAGCCUGAUCUACAGAGCAGUUUCCAUGACAGCUAAGGUUACACAGCAAAAACCCUUGUCUCAAAAAAAAAAAAAAAAAAAAAAUUAAAAGAUACAUGAAUUGAAGAAAUCUUUCUUUGAUGGUGAAACCUUACUAUUAGAAUCAUCCAUUUGUUUCUUACAGCUCCAAUACAGGUGUAUUGAAAAUGUGGGCCUGCCUGUGUCUGGUGCAUCUGGUAUUUGUGUGGUGAGAGCCUGUAACACAAGUGAAUAGAAGAACAGUGUUGAAGAAUAGUAAAUUCAAGGAGCUUCAUGGAAACAAAACAUGGGAUUACUCUGCCCAAUAAAUAGGCACUGGAAAGGUGGUUUCUAAUGCAAGAAUAUCAGCUUUAUAAGGUUAUAAUCUCAACAGAAAACAAAUAGUGACAUAGUCUAUAUCUAGCUGUCCUUUUCAUUGCUUGCUAUAGGAAUUACCAGUUUUGAAAUUUAAGCACAAGUCCAGGCUGUCCAGGUAACUCAGAAGGUAAACCUGAUUUGUUUGAACCCCAGAACCCACAUUACAAGGAAAACCUCUGGAAAGUUGUUCCCUGACCUUACCUGAACUCACAUACACUGUUAUACAGUAACAAUAAAAACCCUAAGAACGAGGUUGACGGUAUCCUUUAACAAGGAGAGGAGCUGAAAAUAUAACAGGUUUGUUCAACCUUAGUCCACUGUACAGGAACUGCUACUUGGAUCAAGGAAAAGCAGGAAGAAAAUUACAUUGUUGAGUAUUUUAAGUUUUCUGCACAUAUCCCAAAGAGGUGCAGCAAUCAUUGUCAUACAGACCUGGUGACAAAAGUUCUGUUUAAAGCAUACCAUCUGUGCAUGAUUUCAUAAACAUACCGGGACUGAAAGCUUCAGUUAAGAGCUGAGUCGGGCAUUCCAAGAUCAUGUCUCAAAAAACAUCCUAGUUACUGGAAUUAAAGUGUAAUCAUUGAUCAACUCCUCUCUCCAAGAAAAAUGUACCAAGAUUUUUGGAGUUCGUGUUCAUAGCUCACAAGUCAACAGUUCUUAAUCCUUAUACACACACAGAUUUUCACAUGGUUGUCCAGAAUGAAAAGCAAUCUAGACAAAAACAUUUCUUGGACAAACACAAUAGUAAACGUAAAGAAUGAUUCCCAAGCCCCUCUGCUCUACAUAGGAAGCCUUAGACCAGAAUCUGACCUAUCAGUACUGAUACUGCUUAACUGUAAGUGGUACUUAGUAACAGAGGUACUGAUCUCUGAUUCCUAGUGCCAACCUGUGGUGGUGCCUGGGCAUGUUACAAUACACACAUAGACCACUGCUAUUCUAAGUUCCAAGAACUGAAUACUACCUUGUUGAUCCUAAGCAUAUAGGAUACAGGGCUUUCUAUGGUUAUUUCCCUUCCAGAACAGUUAAUCUGCCUGGGUCAUAUGGUACUGUUAGUACAGUAGAUAUAUUACAGUUUUAGAAUAAAGUGGCUUUUUAAGACAGUUUUACCUUGUAGACCAGCUUGACCCCAAACUUGUCAGCCCACCUGCGUUUGCCUCCUGAGUGCUAGUAUUAUAAAAGGGUUUAUUUUUCUAUAGGUGCAGGUGGGUGCUGAUGUCAAAGGUGCCAGAUCUCCCUGUAGCUAGUUAAAAGUAACUAUGAGGUACCCAACUUAGUUGUUGGGACCCAAACUCCAGCCCAAUGAUAGAACAACAUUCACUGUUAACCACUGCGCAUCUCCAAUUCCUUCCAAGCUACAUCCAUUCAGUCCUAGUCUUAUUUUCGUGUACUCAACACCAGUCUUGAGACAGGGCUCAGGUUGCCCAGAUUAGCCUAUAAUUUAGAACUAUUGUUGCCUUCCAAAAGCUAAAGUUGGAGUCUUCUGUAGUCAGCUGAUCCAGUUUUUAUGUUUUAAAAAUAACGCAGGGCAGUGGUGGCGUACGUACGCCUUUAGUCCUAGCACUUGGGAGGCAGAGGCAGGUGAAUUUCUGAGUUCGAGGCCAGCCAGGGCUAAACAGAGAAACCCUGUCUUGGAAAAACCAAAAAAAUAAUAACAUGCUUUAAGUCCCAGCAUUGGGGAAACAGGUGAGAGGAUCUUGAGUUCAAGGCCAGCUUGGUCUAUAUAAAGUUUCCAGAACAGGCUGGGCUAUGUAGAUUCCAGUUUGUUUUGUUGUUUUCUGUUUUUUGUUUAUUUUUGUUUUUUUCAAGACAGGGUU
rnacentral:lncRNA from 1 species